rnacentral:rRNA from 1 species
UACGAAGGGGGCUAGCGUUGCUCGGAAUCACUGGGCGUAAAGCGCACGUAGGCGGACUCUUAAGUCGGUGGUGAAAUCCUGGAGCUCAACUCCAGAACUGCCUUCGAUACUGGGAGUCUCGAGUCCGAGAGAGGUGAGUGGAACUGCGAGUGUAGAGGUGAAAUUCGUAGAUAUUCGCAAGAACACCAGUGGCGAAGGCGGCUCACUGGCUCGGUACUGACGCUGAGGUGCGAAAGCGUGGGGAGCGAACGAGG